rnacentral:rRNA from 1 species
UAGGUGAACCUGCGGAAGGAUCAUUGUCAA